rnacentral:rRNA from 1 species
GAUGAACGCUGGCGGCGUGCUUAACACAUGCAAGUCGAACGGAAAGGCCGAAGCUUGCUUCGGUACUCGAGUGGCGAACGGGUGAGUAACACGUGGGUGAUCUGCCCUGUACUUCGGGAUAAGCUUGGGAAACUGGGUCUAAUACCGGAUAUGACAAUCUCUUGGAUGGGGUUGUGGAAAGCUUUUGCGGUAUGGGAUGAGCUCGCGGCCUAUCAGCUUGUUGGUGGGGUAAUGGCCUACCAAGGCGUCGACGGGUAGCCGGCCUGAGAGGGUGUACGGCCACAUUGGGACGGAGAUACGGCCCAGACUCCUACGGGAGGCAGCAGUGGGGAAUAUUGCACAAUGGGCGCAAGCCUGAUGCAGCGACGCCGCGUGGGGGAUGACGGCCUUCGGGUUGUAAACUCCUUUCGCAACCGACGAAGCUUUUGUGACGGUAGGUUGAGAAGAAGCACCGGCUAACUACGUG